UUGCUGCUUCGCUGACGAGUGGCGGACGGGUGAGUAAUGCUUUUUUUGGGAAACUGCCUGAUGGAGGGGGAUAACUACUGGAAACAGUAGCUAAUACCGCAUAACGUCGCAAGACCAAAGAGGGGGACCUUCGGGCCUCUUGCCAUCAGAUGUGCCCAGAUGGGAUUAGCUAGUAGGUGGGGUAACGGCUCACCUAGGCGACGAUCCCUAGCUGGUCUGAGAGGAUGACCAGCCACACUGGAACUGAGACACGGUCCAGACUCC
rnacentral:rRNA from 1 species